AUAAAGGCUUUAUUUAAAGCCAGCAAAGGCUUCAAAAAAAAUCCCU
rfam:Tupaia chinensis contig13883, whole genome shotgun sequence.